UGGAGUGUGGAUUUAACUUCUGCCGCCUGUGAUAGGACAAGUCAUGGGGACAGCCAUCCUACUUUGGAUCCUGGCUUUGCUGUCACAAUCAGCUUUGGUCAUUUCAGAUCCUCAUUACAUGGUGGUUUUCCCAGGCAUACUUCAUCAUCCCAAUAUGGAAAAGUUUUGCAUAUUGCUACGCUCCCUCCAAGAGACUAACCACCUCUUGGUGACCUUGGAAACGAAGACUCAGAACCACACCUUGGCGGAGAAGGACGUGGAAGCACCAGGAACCUUCGAGUGUAUCCGCUUCCAGGCAAGUUGC